UACGGAGGGUGCGAGCGUUGUCCGGAAUCACUGGGCGUAAAGGGCGCGUAGGCGGCAUGCCAAGCGUGUGGUGAAAGCCCGGGGCUCAACCCCGGGUCGGCCGUGCGGACUGGCGUGCUCGAGCACUGUAGGGGCGGGUGGAAUUCCGGGUGUAGCGGUGGAAUGCGUAGAGAUCCGGAAGAACACCGGUGGCGAAGGCGGUCUGCUGGGCAGUUGCUGACACUGAGGCGCGACAGCGUGGGGAGCAAACAGG
rnacentral:rRNA from 1 species